rnacentral:tRNA from 1 species
GCCUUGGUGGCUUUGAGGUGAGAGCGCUCGCCUAAGGAUCUCCAAGUGGCGGGUUCGAAUCCCGGCCGAGGUG